AGAGUUUGAUCCUGGCUCAGGACGAACGCUGGCGGCGUGCCUAACACAUGCAAGUCGAGCGAUGAAACCCUUCGGGGUGGAUUAGCGGCGGACGGGUGAGUAACACGUGGGUAACCUGCCUCAAAGAGGGGAAUAGCCUCCCGAAAGGGAGAUUAAUACCGCAUAAUAUGUUUUGAUCGCAUGAUCUUAACAUCAAAGGAAACUUCUUCGGAAGAUUCCACUUUGAGAUGGACCCGCGGCGCAUUAGCUAGUUGGUGAGGUAACGGCCCACCAAGGCGACGAUGCGUAGCCGACCUGAGAGGGUGAUCGGCCACAUUGGAACUGAGACACGGUCCAGACUCCUACGGGAGGCAGCAGUGGGGAAUAUUGCGCAAUGGGGGAAACCCUGACGCAGCAACGCCGCGUGAAUGAUGAAGGUCUUCGGAUUGUAAAGUUCUGUCUUCUGGGACGAUAAUGACGGUACCAGAGGA
rnacentral:rRNA from 1 species